UACGUAGGCAGCGAGCGUUGUUCGGAAUUACUGGGCGUAAAGAGUGUGUAGGCGGUGCUCUAAGUUCGGUGUGAAAUCUCCUGGCUCAACUGGGAGGGUGCGCCGGAAACUGGAGUGCUUGAGCGUGGGAGAGGAAAGCGGAAUUCCUGGUGUAGCGGUGAAAUGCGUAGAUAUCGAGAGGAACACCUGCGGCGAAGGCGGGUUGCUGGGCCGACACUGACGCUGAUGCGCGAAAGCCAGGGGAGCGAACGGG
rnacentral:rRNA from 1 species